GACGAACGCUGGCGGCGUGCUUAACACAUGCAAGUCGAACGGAAAGGCCGUGCUUUUGUCUGGUGCUCGCGUGGCGAACGGGUGUGUUACACGUGAGUCUCCUGCCUUUGACUUUGGGAUGACUUCAGACAACCGCGGCUACUACCGGCUAGCUGCUCCUGAUGGAUGGUGGGGGUUGGAACGUUUCGGCGGAUGUGGAUGGACUGGCGGCUUAUCAGCUUGUUGGUGGGGUAGUGGCUUACCAAGGCUUUGACGGGUAGCCGGCCUGAGAGGGUGACCGGCCACAUUGGGACUGAGAUACGGCCCAGACUCCUACGGGAGGCAGCAGUGGGGAAUAUUGCACAAUGGGCGGAAGCCUGAUGCAGCAACGCCGCGUGCGGGAUGACGGCCUUCGGGUUGUAAACCGCUUUCGCCUGUGACGAAGCGUGAGUGACGGUAAUGGGUAAAGAAGCACCGGCUAACUACGUG
rnacentral:rRNA from 1 species